rnacentral:misc_RNA from 1 species
GAAAUGCGAUAAGUAAUGCGAAUUGCAGAAUUCAGUGAGUCAUCGAAUCUUUGAACGCAUAUUGCGCCCUUUGGCAUUCCGAAGGGCAUGCCUGUUCGAGCGUCAUUAUCAACCAUCAAGCUUGGCUUGUAGUUUGGACUUUUGUUGGUUAGGGGAUUUCCCCCGACCGGUCCGAAAGACAAUGAACGGGAGCUCAACGGGCCCUUAAUGCAACGAGCUUUUUUCUUAAGCACGCAUUGAACGGUCCGUUAGGCCUGGUCUUUUAAAAAAAAAAUUUUCUACGGUUGACCUCGGAUCAGGUAGGAAUACCCGCUGAACUUAA